rnacentral:rRNA from 1 species
GACGAACGCUGGCGGCGUGCUUAACACAUGCAAGUCGAACGGUAAGGCCCUUCGGGGUACACGAGUGGCGAACGGGUGAGUAACACGUGGGUGAUCUGCCCUGCACUUCGGGAUAAGCCUGGGAAACUGGGUCUAAUACCGGAUAGGACUCCGGACUGCAUGGUCUGGGGUGGAAAGCUUUUGCGGGGUGGGAUGGGCCCGCGGCCUAUCAGCUUGUUGGUGGGGUGAUGGCCUACCAAGGCGACGACGGGUAGCCGGCAUGAGAGGGUGACCGGCCACACUGGGACUGAGAUACGGCCCAGCCUCCUACGGGAGGCAGCAGUGGGGAAUAUUGCACAAUGGGCGCAAGCCUGAUGCAGCGACGCCGCGUGAGGGAUGACGGCCUUCGGGUUGUAAACCUCUUUCAGCAUCGACGAAGCGAAAGUGACGGUAGGUGCAGAAGAAGGACCGGCCAACUACGUGCCAGCCGCCGCGGUAA